rnacentral:rRNA from 1 species
UACGUAGGGUGCAAGCGUUGUCCGGAAUUAUUGGGCGUAAAGAGCUCGUAGGCGGUUUGUCGCGUCUGCUGUGAAAACUCGGGGCUCAACCCCGAGCUUGCAGUGGGUACGGGCAGACUAGAGUGCGGUAGGGGAGACUGGAAUUCCUGGUGUAGCGGUGGAAUGCGCAGAUAUCAGGAGGAACACCGGUGGCGAAGGCGGGUCUCUGGGCCGUAACUGACGCUGAGGAGCGAAAGCAUGGGGAGCGAACGGG